AUACGAAAUUUGCAGUUAAACACAUGUUACAACACACAGUUCAUCAAUAAUCACACACAAGGAGAAUGUUUGAUCUACAUUCAAUCUAACCAUCUUCAUACAUGAUUUUGCCUUGUUCUUGAGACACAUUCUUCACCAUCAACAAUGAGCAAGCAAUGGAAAUGAACAAGUAUAAGCACAAGCAGAAAAUUAUCACGUGUUUCAUGCUAUCAUGUAUCAAGCCAACAUCAUCAAACAUCAUGAAACAAUAACAAUCAUUAACAACAACAAAAAUCAC
rnacentral:lncRNA from 1 species